rnacentral:rRNA from 1 species
GCAAGACUACCCGCUGAACUUAAGCAUAUCAAUAAGCGGAGGAAAAGAAACUAACAAGGAUUCCCCUAGUAACUGCGAGUGAAGCGGGAAGAGCUCAAAUUUAAAAUCUGGCGGCCCCCCUGGCUGUCCGAGUUGUAAGCUAGAGAAGCGCAGUCCGCGCUGGGGCCAUGUACAAGUCUCCUGGAACGGAGCGUCAUAGAGGGUGAGAAUCCCGUCUCUGACAUGGACCUCCCAGGGCAUAGCGAUUGCGUUCUCAAAGAGUCGAGUUGUUUGGGAAUGCAGCUCCAAAUGGGUGGUAAACUCCAUCUAAAGCUAAACAUAGGCGAGAGACCGAUAGCGAACAAGUACCGUGAGGGAAAGAUGAAAAGAACUUUGGAAAGAGAGUUAAACAGUACGUGAAAUUGUUGAAAGGGAAACGCUUGAAGUCAGUCACGUCGGCUUGGGAUCAGCCUUGCAACUGCGAGGUGCACUCCCUGGUCGACGGGUCAGCACCAGUUUCGACCGCUGGAGAAAGGUCGGGGGAAUGUGGCAUCCUCGGAUGUGUUUAUAGCCCUCGAUUGCAUGCAUCGGUUGGGAUUGAGGAACUCAGCGCGCCGCAAGGCCGGGUUUUCGAACCACGUCCGCGCUCAGGAUGCUGGCACAAU